rnacentral:ncRNA from 1 species
AGGGUUCCUCAGCACUGUUCGUCAGCUGAGGGUUAGCCGGUCCUAAGUCUCACCGUAAUUCGAAUGAGACGAAAUGGGAAGCAGGUUAACAUUCCUGCGCCGCUGUCAACUAAAAGUCGACGCCUUGGGUUCACCUGAGCCGGGCAAUCGCCCGGUCGAACUAUCCAACUCCGUGGAAGCCGUAAUGGCACGAAGCGGACGAACGGUAGGAUAGCGAAAGUCAGGCUAGCCUGGGGCCCGUGAAAAGACGAUGACAGUGUCCGUACCGAGAACCGACACAGGUGCUCAUGGCGGAGAAAGCCAAGGCCUGUCGGGAUCAAUCGACGUUAGGGAAUUCGGCAAUCUAGUCCCGUACCUUCGGAAGAAGGGAUGCCUGCCUCGGGAAGAGGCAGGUCGCAGUGACUNACAGAGCAAUUGUGUAGGUCGGCGUUCUGAUCGGGUGGAAGCACGGCCGAGAGUUCGUG